rnacentral:rRNA from 1 species
CCUACGGGAGGCAGCAGUGGGGAAUAUUGGACAAUGGGGGCAACCCUGAUCCAGCCAUGCCGCGUGUGUGAAGAAGGCUUUCGGGUUGUAACGCACUUUCAGUGGUGAGGAAGGCUAUAAGGUUAAUACCCUUGUAGAUUGACGUUAACCACAGAAGAAGCACCGGCUAACUUCGUGCCAGCAGCCGCGGUAAUACGAAGGGACCUAGCGUAAUUCGGAAUUACUGGGCGUAAAGCGCGCGUAGGCGGUUAAGUAAGUUAAUUGUGAAAGCCCAAAGCUCAACUUUGGAAUUGCAAUUAAAACUAUUUAGCUAGAGUUUAUCAGAGGAAAGCGGAAUACAUAGUGUAGAGGUGAAAUUCGUAGAUAUUAUGUAGAACACCAGUUGCGGAGGCGGCUUUCUGGGAUAACACUGACGCUGAGGUGCGAAAGUAUGGGUAGCGAAGAGGAUUAGAUACCCUCGUAGUCCAUACCGUAAACGAUGAUUGUUAGAUGUUGGAAAUUUAUUUUCAGUAUCACAGCUAACGCGUUAAACAAUCCGCCUGGGGAGUACGACCGCAAGGUUAAAACUCAAAUGAAUUGACGGA